ACUAGCAGUAGAGUUUGAUCAUGGCUCAGAAUGAACGCUGGCGGCAGGCCUAAACAUGCAAGUCGAACGCCUAGCAAUACGGGAGUGGCGCACGGGUGCGUAACAUGUGGGAAUAUGCCUUUUGGUACGGAACAACCUCGGGAAACUGAGGCUAAUACCGUAUGGUCCCUUCGGGGUAAAGAUUUAUCGCCAAAAGAUUAGCCCGCACUGGAUUAGCUAGGUUGGUACGGGUAAUGGCCUACCAAGGCGACGAUCCAUAGCUGGUCUGAGAGGACGAUCAGCCACACUGGGACUGAGACACGGCCCAGACUCCUACGGGAGGCAGCAGUUAGGAAUAUUGGACAAUGGGCGCAAGCCUGAUCCAGCCAUGCCGCGUGAGUGAUGAAGGCCUUCGGGUUGUAAAACUCUUUAGCCGACGAAUAUAAUGACUGUAGUCGGAGAAUAAGCCCCGGCUAACUUCGUGCCAGCAGCCGCGGUAAUAC
rnacentral:rRNA from 1 species